CCUGGCUUAGGAUGAGCGCUAGCGGCAGGCUUAACACAUGCAAGUCGAGGGGCAUCGGGAGUAGCAAUACUGCCGGCGACCGGCGCAAGGGUGCGUAACGCGUGAGCAACAUGCCCGUAUCAGGGGGAUAAUCCAUGGAAACGUGGUCUAAUACCCCAUAGUAAUUAUGUAAGGCAUCUUAUAUAAUUUAAAGCUUUGGUGGAUACGGAUUGGCUCGCGUGACAUUAGCUAGAUGGUAAGGUAACGGCUUACCAUGGCUACGAUGUCUAGGGGUUCUGAGAGGAAGGUCCCCCACACUGGAACUGAGACACGGUCCAGACUCCUACGGGAGGCAGCAGUGAGGAAUAUUGGACAAUGGAUGGAAAUCUGAUCCAGCCAUGCCGCGUGCAAGGAAGACGGCCCUAUGGGUUGUAAACUGCUUUUGUAUGGGAGCAAUAAGGGCUACGCGUAGUCCGAUGAGAGUACCAUACGAAUAAGCACCGGCUAACUCCGUGCCAGCCGCAGC
rnacentral:rRNA from 1 species